AGCAGUAGCCACGGUAAUACGUAGGUCCCGAGCGUUGUCCGGAAUUAUUGGGCGUAAAGCGCGCGCAGGCGGAUAGGUCAGUCUGUCUUAAAAGUUCGGGGCUUAACCCCGUGAUGGGAUGGAAACUGCCAAUCUAGAGUAUCGGAGAGGAAAGUGGAAUUCCUAGUGUAGCGGUGAAAUGCGUAGAUAUUAGGAAGAACACCAGUGGCGAAGGCGACUUUCUGGACGAAAACUGACGCUGAGGCGCGAAAGCCAGGGGAGCGAACGGGAUUAGAGACCCCAGUAGUCCCUGUCUCUUAUACA
rnacentral:rRNA from 1 species